rnacentral:rRNA from 1 species
GGUUUACCUGUGUGACUGCGUACCUUUUGUAUAAUGGGUCAGCGACUUAUAUUCUGUAGCAAGGUUAACCGUAUAGGGGAGCCGUAGGGAAACCGAGUCUUAACCGGGCGUUAAGUUGCAGGGUAUAGACCCGAAACCCGGUGAUCUAGCCAUGGGCAGGUUGAAGGUUGGGUAACACUAACUGGAGGACCGAACCGACUAAUGUUGAAAAAUUAGCGGAUGACCUGUGGCUGGGGGUGAAAGGCCAAUCAAACCGGGAGAUAGCUGGUUCUCCCCGAAAGCUAUUUAGGUAGCGCCUCGUGAAUUCAUCUCCGGGGGUAGAGCACUGUUUCGGCUAGGGGGCCAUCCCGGCUUACCAACCCGAUGCAAACUGCGAAUACCGGAGAAUGUUAUCACGGGAGACACACGGCGGGUGCUAACGUCCGUCGUGAAGAGGGAAACAACCCAGACCGCCAGCUAAGGUCCCAAAGUCAUGGUUAAGUGGGAAACGAUGUGGGAAGGCCCAGACAGCCAGGAUGUUGGCUUAGAAGCAGCCAUCAUUUAAAGAAAGCGUAAUAGCUCACUGGUCGAGUCGGCCUGCGCGGAAGAUGUAACGGGGCUAAACCAUGCACCGAAGCUGCGGCAGCGACACUGUGUGUUGUUGGGUAGGGGAGCGUUCUGUAAGCCUGUGAAGGUGGCCUGUGAGGGUUGCUGGAGGUAUCAGAAGUGCGAAUGCUGACAUAAGUAACGAUAAAGCGGGUGAAAAGCCCGCUCGCCGGAAGACCAAGGGUUCCUGUCCAACGUUAAUCGGGGCAGGGUGAGUCGACCCCUAAGGCGAGGCCGAAAGGCGUAGUCGAUGGGAAACGGGUUAAUAUUCCCGUACUUGGUGUUACUGCGAAGGGGGGACGGAGAAGGCUAUGUUGGCCGGGCGACGGUUGUCCCGGUUUAAGCGUGUAGGUGUGUGUUCCAGGUAAAUCCGGUUCACUUUAACACUGAGGCGUGACGACGAGGCACUACGGUGCUGAAGCAACAAAUGCCCUGCUUCCAGGAAAAGCCUCUAAGCAUCAGGUAACAUCAAAUCGUACCCCAAACCGACACAGGUGGUCAGGUAGAGAAUACCAAGGCGCUUGAGAGAACUCGGGUGAAGGAACUAGGCAAAAUGGUGCCGUAACUUCGGGAGAAGGCACGCUGACACGUAGGUGAAGUGAUUUACUCAUGGAGCUGAAGUCAGUCGAAGAUACCAGCUGGCUGCAACUGUUUAUUAAAAACACAGCACUGUGCAAACACGAAAGUGGACGUAUACGGUGUGACGCCUGCCCGGUGCCGGAAGGUUAAUUGAUGGGGUCAGCGCAAGCGAAGCUCCUGAUCGAAGCCCCGGUAAACGGCGGCCGUAACUAUAACGGUCCUAAGGUAGCGAAAUUCCUUGUCGGGUAAGUUCCGACCUGCACGAAUGGCGUAAUGAUGGCCAGGCUGUCUCCACCCGAGACUCAGUGAAAUUGAACUCGCUGUGAAGAUGCAGUGUACCCGCGGCAAGACGGAAAGACCCCGUGAACCUUUACUAUAGCUUGACACUGAACAUUGAGCCUUGAUGUGUAGGAUAGGUGGGAGGC